rnacentral:rRNA from 1 species
GGAUUAGAUACCCUGGUAGUCCACGCCGUAAACGAUGCUAACUCGUUUUUGGGGCGCAAGCUUCAGAGACCAAGCGAAAGUGAUAAGUUAGCCACCUGGGGAGUACGUUCGCAAGAAUGAAACUCAAAGGAAUUGACGGGGGCCCGCACAAGCGGUGGAUUAUGUGGUUUAAUUCGAUGAUACGCGAGGAACCUUACCAAGGCUUAAAUGGGAAAUGACAGAUUUAGAAAUAGAUCCUUCUUCGGACAUUUUUCAAGGUGCUGCAUGGUUGUCGUCAGCUCGUGCCG